UACGUAGGUGGCAAGCGUUAUCCGGAUUUACUGGGUGUAAAGGGCGUGUAGGCGGGUUUGCAAGUCGGGUGUGAAAGAUUCGGGCUUAACCCGGAGAGGUCAUCCGAAACUGCAGAUCUUGAGUGCUGGAGAGGAUAGUGGAAUUCCUGGUGUAGCGGUAAAAUGCGUAGAGAUCAGGAGGAACACCAGUGGCGAAGGCGGCUAUCUGGACAGUAACUGACGCUGAGGCGCGAAAGCGUGGGGAGCAAACAGGAUUAGAUACCCUGGUA
rnacentral:rRNA from 1 species